rnacentral:rRNA from 1 species
AUGGCUGACUGCUGUGACAUUCAUCGCAGAUAUAACAACUCGGUACGGCAUGCCACACAGCAUCAUCACCGACAAUGGCACAAAUUUCGCCAAGGGAGCCUCGGCACAUUAUGCGCGACGCAAGGCAUCUGGUUGGAUCUAGCAUCCGUCGCCCACCCACAGUCAAACGGCCAGGUCGAGCGAGCCAACGGCCUCAUCCUUUCCGGCAUCAAGCCCCGACUGAUCGUACCACUGGAGCGUUCAGCCGGCUGUUGGCUCGAUGAGCUGCCGGCUGUCCUCUGGAGUCUGCGCACUACACCAAACAAGUCAACCGGCUUCACCCCUUUCUUCCUCGUGUAUGGUGCCGAGGCGGUCAUCCCAACUGACAUCGAGUUCGACUCGCCUCGAGUAACCAUGUACAUGGAAGCGGAGGCCAAGGAAGCACGAGAAGACGGUGUUGACCUGCUGGAAGAAAGCCGGCUGUUAGCCCUCAGCCGGUCCGCCAUCUAUCAGUAG